rnacentral:rRNA from 1 species
UACAGAGGUCUCAAGCGUUUGUUCGGAUUCAUUGGGCGUAAAGGGUGCGUAGGUGGCGCUGUAAGUCGGGUGUGAAAUCUCGGGGCUUAACUCCGAAACUGCAUUCGAUACUGCCGUGCUUGAGGACUGGAGAGGAGACUGGAAUUUACGGUGUAGCGGUGAAAUGCGUAGAUAUCGUAAGGAAGACCAGUGGCGAAGGCGGGUCUCUGGACAGUUUCCUGACGCUGAGGCACGAAGGCCAGGGGAGCAAACGGG